AAGGUCUAACCAUGCUUUCCAAUGAAUCCGUUGCUAAUUCUAUUCCCCAGCAAAGCCAGUUAUUCCCCAAAAGCAAUUGGCAUUACUAGACAAAUUGGUCAUCUCUUCCACCCCCGGCCAGGCUUCUGUUAAAUAUUUCUACCAUCAGACAGAAAUCAAGUAUCCCUAGAUGAGAAGGGGUCAUCAAUACAAGUAUCUCCAACCAGAAGAUGGGGAUUUAUUUUC
rnacentral:lncRNA from 1 species